rnacentral:lncRNA from 1 species
AACAAUGUCUAGGAAACUUAACCCCCCACACUUUGACAGUGUCCUUGAUCCUUUAGUAGCCGAAGUCUAGAUCCUACAAAUAGAGAAGCUCUUCUCUAUCCUAAACCUGACCGAAGAAUAAAAAAUUCCUCUUGUAGCUUUUAUGUUAAACGGUGAAGUAGAACAUUGGUGGUGACUUAAGAAGGAAGUCCUUCUUACCCCUACUACCUUGAAAGGUUUUCAUGGAUUCUUUAUUUGAUAACUUCUUCCCUGUCUAUGUUUAGAAAAGAA